rnacentral:tRNA from 1 species
UGCGGGAAUGCCGGAAUUGGCAGACGGGCAUGAUUCAGGUUCAUGUGUACGAAUGUACGUGAGGGUUCAAGUCCCUUUUCCCGCAU